rnacentral:tRNA from 1 species
CCUUGGGUGGUGGAAAUGGUUAAUAUGCUUGGCUGCUAACCAGGACGUUGGAGGUUCAAGUCCGCCCAGAGGA